rnacentral:rRNA from 1 species
AGCAGCCGCGGUAAUUCCAGCUCCAAUAGCGUAUAUUAAAGUUGUUGCAGUUAAAAAGCUCGUAGUUGAAUUUCGGGGCUCAGUAGGUCGGUCGUGCCACUGGUAUGAACUGGUUUUACUGAUUCCUCCCUCUUGAAGAACUGUAAUGCCAUUAAUUUGGUGUUGCAGGGAAUCAGGACUGUUACUUUGAAAAAAUUAGAGUGUUUAAAGCAGGCUUUAGCUUGAAUACAUUAGCAUGGAAUAAUGAAAUAGGACGUUUGAUCCUAUUUUGUUGGUUUCUAGGAUUGACGUAAUGAUUAAUAGGGAUAGUUGGGGGCAUUAGUAUUCAAUUGUCAGAGGUGAAAUUCUUGGAUUUAUUGAAGACUAACUACUGCGAAAGCAUUUGCCAAGGAUGUUUUCAUUAAUCAAGAACGAAAGUUAGGGGAUCGAAGACGAUCAGAUACCGUCGUAGUCUUAACCAUAAACUAUGCCGACUAGGGAUCGGAUGAUGUUAAUUUUUUAAUGACUCA